AAAAUGGCGGCCUCCAAGAGGGCUCACACUAAUGAGUACUCUCCAGAACUACCUCUGCCAGUGUCCUUGUCCCCAUGGUGAGUCACAGCUGCCCCCCACCUCUGCAGGAGACCCUCCAAUACUAGCAGAUUUCUAAACUCUCAAGUGAACAUUCACGGCAAGCUUUCCAAUCACAUCAUUUCUGGAAGAAUACUGGUCAAAUCCAGUGUGAAAGACUUCAUGGAAAUAGCCAACACUUUGAAGAUGGUAACACUGUGUAGAAUAUUGACGUGGUAAUUUUUGCCACAGGAUAUACCUUCUCGUUUCUUUUCUUCGACGAUAUGUGAAUAUCAUUGAUGACCAAGUAUCUUUAUAUCUUUGUGUAUUUCCACUUCAUUUGGAAAAGUUAACUUUGCCAGCAAGUGGUAACACCAACAAUGGAACCCCACAGUCACUGGGCCGGAUGUGUAUUUAAAGGUAUACUCAGAAUCUUUAGCAGAGCCUUCAGGAGGAUUAUAACAACUCCAUGGACAGAGUUGCUCCUCUGGAAGGAAUGAAACCCAGUUUGCUAUCUCUCUUAUCCACUGAUCCCAAACUAGCAGUGGACGUUGUCUUUGGACUAUGUACCCCAUACCAGUACCACCAGCAGGGACUGGGGAAAUGGGAUGGAGUGCAAAAAACCAUUCUGAUACAGAGAGAGUGGAUUCUCAAACCCAUAAGGACCCUCAGAGUUACAUAAGGACUUCCCUGGUGGUGCAGUGGAUAAGAAUCUGCCCACCAACGCAGGAGACACAGGUUCCAUCCCUGGUUCGGGAAGAUCCACAUGCCACAGAGCAACUAAGCCUGUACGCCACUACUACUGAGGCCACGUGCCCGCAUGCCUAGAGUCCGUGCUCCACCACAAGGAGAAGCCCUCACACCGCAAUGAAGAGUAGCUCCGCUCACCACAACUA